CUGGUUGAUCCUGCCAGUAGUUAUAUGCUUGUCUCAAAGAUUAAGCCAUGCAUGUCUAAGUACACACGAAUUAAAAGUGAAACCGCAAAAGGCUCAUUAUAUCAGUUAUGGUUCCUUAGAUCGUUAACAGUUACUUGGAUAACUGUGGUAAUUCUAGAGCUAAUACAUGCAAUUAAAACAUGAACCUUAUGGGACAUGUGCUUUUAUUAGGCUAAAACCAAGCGAUCGCAAGAUCGUUAUAUUGGUUGAACUCUAGAUAACAUGCAGAUCGUAUGGUCUUGUACCGACGACAGAUCUUUCAAAUGUCUGCCCUAUCAACUUUUGAUGGUAGUAUCUAGGACUACCAUGGUUGCAACGGGUAACGGGGAAUCAGGGUUCGAUUCCGGAGAGGGAGCCUGAGACACGGCUACCACAUCUAAGGAAGGCAGCAGGUGCGUAAAUUACCCACUCCCAGCUCGGGGAGGUAGUGACGAAAAAUAACAAUACAGGACUCAUAUCCGAGGCCCUGUAAUUGGAAUGAGUACACUUUAAAUCCUUUAACAAGGACCAAUUGGAGGGCAAGUCUGGUGCUAGCAGCCGCGGUAAUUCCAGCUUCAAUAGCGUAUAUA
rnacentral:ncRNA from 1 species